rnacentral:rRNA from 1 species
UACGUAGGGGGCAAGCGUUAUCCGGAUUUACUGGGUGUAAAGGGAGCGUAGACGGUUAUGCAAGUCAGAAGUGAAAGCCCAAAGCUCAACUUCGGGACUGCCUUUGAAACUGUGUAACUAGAGUGCAGGAGGGGUAAGCGGAAUUCCUAGUGUAGCGGUGAAAUGCGUAGAUAUUAGGAGGAACACCGGCGGCGAAGGCGGCUUACUGGACUGUAACUGACGUUGAGGCUCGAAAGCGUGGGGAGCAAACAGG